rnacentral:misc_RNA from 1 species
GAAAACUGAUAAAGGACAUUAUUUGGAAGCUGGUGCUUUAUUACCUCAAAUGCUGAUGUGGUGGUUGUGGUCAUCAAGACAGUUACAUCAGGCCUCCUCUCUAUGCAGCAUUUAAUCACAGGAAUCGCACACAUUCCUUCACCAAGGGAGACAGCGUGGAACCAGAAGAGAGGGCCAGGGGGCCGAGAAAGAGAAGGGACUCCGAGACGCUCGCGCCAGCGGAGAGGAUGUUCCAGGCCACGGAAUUUGCGCCACCGCAGGUGCAGCUGAAUCAGCGGCGAUAAUCCAUAGGUUAGGGCUCUGUAAAUUUUGU